rnacentral:rRNA from 1 species
AUGGGGUGCAGCAGGCGCGAAAACUUUACAAUGCGCGAAAGCGCGAUAAGGGGACCCCGAGUGCGAGGGCAUAACGUCCUCNCUUUUGUAUAUNGUAAGAAGAUACNNGAAUAAGGGCUGGGCAAGACCGGUGCCAGCCGCCGCGGUAAUACCGGCAGCUNGANUGAUGAUCACUAUUAUUGGGCCUAAAGCGUCCGUAGCCGGUCGAACAAGUCCUUCGGUAAAUCCACUCGCUCAACGAGUGGGCUCUCGAGGGAAACUGUUCGACUUGGGGCCGGGAGAUCUGAGGGGUACGUCUAGGGUAGGAGUGAAAUCCUGUAAUCCUAGACGGACCGCCGGUGGCGAAAGCGCCUCAGAAGAACGGACCCGACGGUCAGGGACGAAAGCUAGGGUCUCGAACCGGAUUAGAUACCCGGGUAGUCCUACCCGUAAACGAUGCUCGCUAAGUGUUGCGAAAGCUACGUGCUUUUGCUGUGCCGUAGGGAAGCCGUGAAGCGAGCCGCCUGGGAAGUACGUCCGCAAGGAUGAAACUUAAAGGAAUUGGCGGGGGAGCAC